GACCCCUCAGUAUAUACUCCUAUUUCCUGUAAGUGAUUCACCCUAAAUACGAUAAAGUCAUGCCUCGUUUUAAGUGUUUUAACCCUUGAUCACUGAUACCCUGUCCGACUGACGUAGGGCCCCGUAACGUAUGUCAAGGCUAUGCCUAAAUUCGUUGGGGUUCUGUCUCGUGACGUAGGGAUAAAGUGGAAUUGGGUUACUAUACUUAAUGUGAGUGCACUAUAUAUUUUAUUAAAUAACCCAGAAGUGAUACCCGAAAUAUAGCAACCCUCCUAAAACACCCCUAACACCCUACACUUUCUAAAAUACACCCCGUAGGUGAAAACCAAGCCCGAAAUACAAUAUAUAAAUUAAAAACAAGAAAUAGUAAGUUGAGGCGGGCCGCGUACCCACCCCAACCAUUCACGCGGGCCGUAUAAAGGUGUAACCGGAUUCCUUUGAUUUCUUAAGUUCAAGCGGGCCGCGUAAGGUUCCCAUAACAUUAACGCGGGCCGCGAGAGGUUAUAAAGGUGGCGCAGCCCGGUGCGGCCACGUGGCCCAACACCCGGCUAAGCUAGUUGUCGACUCAGCAUAGCUACGCGUUGACCCAGCUUUGACGCGGGCCGCGUAAGCUUUGUGCUUAUAUUACGCGGGCCGCGAGAGACCCCGAUUCAGGCACUAUAUAAAGGAGGCAUCGGCUGUCCAUUUCAAUUCGUUCAUUCUUCGAUUCUUUCUCUCAAAUUCUGAUAUAGGCUUUAUUAAGCGGGUAUUAUACCCCCCUAAUUAGCGAAGCUUUGCCUCGUUGUAAGUAUCAUAACCCCUGGAUACGUAUUAGAUACUCUGCCCGAUUGAUCUAGGGUUCCGUAACGGCUGUCGUGGUUCUGCCCGACGUAGUCGUUGGAAUGCCGUCUCGGGGAGGAUUAUAACCAGGGAAUUACAAAGGAAAGCCCUAUAAUAGCAAAGUAACUUAGUGAGAAGUCAAUAGAAGCCAGCUGGAGAGCAUUGAAGGCUUGGAAAAAGUGGCAAUAAAGUUACAUAAAAUAAAAUAGAUGUUUUUAUUAAAUAAAAUAGGAUUUAUUCCUAUGAAAAUGCAUGUACUGAAAAACUUGGGUUUUAUCCCAUAUGUUUAAUAUUAUGAAAAUAUGGUGGUUUUACU
rnacentral:lncRNA from 1 species